rnacentral:rRNA from 1 species
AUUGAACGCUGGCGGCAGGCCUAACACAUGCAAGUCGAACGGUAACAGGAAACAGCUUGCUGUUUCGCUGACGAGUGGCGGACGGGUGAGUCAUGUCUGGGAAACUGCCUGAUGGAGGGGGAUAACUACUGGAAACGGUAGCUAAUACCGCAUAACGUCGCAAGACCAAAGAGGGGGACCUUCGGGCCUCUUGCCAUCGGAUGUGCCCAGAUGGGAUUAGCUAGUAGGUGGGGUAACGGCUCACCUAGGCGACGAUCCCUAGCUGGUCUGAGAGGAUGACCAGCCACACUGGAACUGAGACACGGUCCAGACUUCUACGGGAGGCAGCAGUGGGGAAUAUUGCACAAUGGGCGCAAGCCUGAUGCAGCCAUGCCGCGUGUAUGAAGAAGGCCUUCGGGUUGUAAAGUACUUUCAGCGGGGAGGAAGGGAGUAAAGUUAAUACCUUUACUCAUUGACGUUACCCGCAGAAGAAGCACCGGCUAACUCCGUG